rnacentral:rRNA from 1 species
GUGCCAGCCGCCGCGGUAAUACGUAGGUGGCAAGCGUUGUCCGGAUUUACUGGGCGUAAAGCGCGCGCAGGCGGACUGGUUAGUCCGGGGUGAAAGCUCAUGGCUCAACUGUGAGUGGUCCCCGGAUACUGCCCGUCUUGAGGUGUCUAGAGGAGAGCGGAAUUCCCGGUGUAGUGGUGGAAUGCGUAGAUAUCGGGAAGAACACCAGUGGCGAAAGCGGCUCUCUGGGGACCACCUGACGCUGAGGCGCGAAAGCGUGGGGAGCGAACCGGAUUAGAAACCCCCGUAGUCC